GUUUUUAUGGUGUAACCUAAACACAUAACUUUUUCAAAGUUAAACUAAUUAAUCUUUAAAAACA
rnacentral:tRNA from 1 species